rnacentral:rRNA from 1 species
UUACUGAGUUACCGCUCUAUAACCCUUUGUGAACAUACCUAUAUGUUGCUUCGGCGGCCGGCCCCCCGGGGCGUCCGCCGGAGGAUAACCAAACUCUGAUUUAACGACGUUUCUUCUGAGUGGCACAAGCAAAUAAUCAAAACUUUUAACAACGGAUCUCUUGGUUCUGGCAUCGAUGAAGAACGCAGCGAAAUGCGAUAAGUAAUGUGAAUUGCAGAAUUCAGUGAAUCAUCGAAUCUUUGAACGCACAUUGCGCCCGCCAGCAUUCUGGCGGGCAUGCCUGUUCGAGCGUCAUUUCAACCCUCAAGCACUGCUUGGUGUUGGGGCUCUACGGUUGACGUAGGCCCCCAAAGCUAGUGGCGGACCCUCUCGGAGCCUCCUUUGCGUAGUAACUUUUGUCUCGCACUGGGAUUCGGAGGGACUCUAGCCGUUAAACCCCCCAAUUUUCCAAAGGUUGACCUCGGAUCAGGUAGGAAUACCCGCUGAACUUAAGCAUAUCAAUAAGCGGAGGAAAAGAAACCAACAGGGAUUGCCUCAGUAACGGCGAGUGAAGCGGCAACAGCUCAAAUUUGAAAUCUGGUCCUUGCGGCCCGAGUUGUAAUUUGCAGAGGAUGC